rnacentral:misc_RNA from 1 species
GAUGAAGAACGUAGCGAAAUGCGAUACGUAAUGUGAAUUGCAGAAUUCAGUGAAUCAUCGAAUCUUUGAACGCAUAUUGCGCUCUCUGUUAUUCCGGAGAGCAUGCUUGUUUGAGUAUCAGUAAACACCUCAACUUCCAUAUCUUUUUUGAAAUGGGAGUUGGACUUGAGUGAUCCCAACGCUUUUCCUCACCGAAAAGUGGCGGGUUACUUGAAAUGCAGGUGCAGCUGGACUUUUCUCUGAGCUAUAAGCAUAUCUAUUUAGUCUGCCUAAAAAACAGAUUAUUACCUUUGCUGCAGCUAACAUAAAGGAGAUUAGUUCUUGUGCUGACUGAUGCAGGAUUCACAAAGACAGGCUUCGGCCGACUUUGUAAACUCGAUCUCAAAUCAAGUAAGACUACCCGCUGAACUUAAGCAUAUCAAUAAGCGGAGGA